rnacentral:rRNA from 1 species
UACGGGGGGGUAAGCGUUGUUCGGAAUUACUGGGCGUAAAGGGCUCGUAGGCGGCCAACUAAGUCAGACGUGAAAUCCCUCAGCUUAACUGGGGAACUGCGUCUAAUACUGGAUGGCUUGGAUUUGGGAGAGGGAUGCGGAAUUCCAGGUGUAGCGGUGAAAUGCGUAGAUAUCUGGAGGAACACCUGUGGUGUAGACAGCUUACUGGACCACUUCUGACGCUGAGACACGAAAGCGUGGGUAGCAAACAGG